CCUCCUUCCUUCCCCCAGCUCAGGCCAGUGGCAAGAGAGAAUCCGCAGUUGCAGGAGGGCAGAAUUCUGGUCUGAUUUCCAGCCCAGGGGUUCUGCCCCUCUCCAGCCCAUCCUACUGGGGUCUCCAGGGUUAGAGCACAAAGAGGAAGAAGAGGAUAAGAAUUAGGCUAAAGAGAGAAGCAUGAAGAAACAUUUUCUUCCAAGAGGCUGAAUGGCACUAUCUUAACAAUACACUUCCUGAAGGGGUCUGCCACUUUACAGAACCAGAGGUACCGGCUCCCACUUUAGCUGGACGACCUGCCACCCAAAGAGUGAGGCAGAUUUUUGAAUCUCAGGAAAUACAAAGAUCUCUUCACGCUUCUCUUGAAGGCUGCUCAUUUAUGUAAUGAAGAGUGGCCAUCUACCGGCUUGUCUUUGAACAAAGUGAUCUUCAUCGUGGGACGAUCAAGAAGCUAGAGUUUCUGGUUCAGCCUCCAGUGAGUACUGAGGCUGGAUGCUGUCUUGCCCAACACCCUUUUACAUGAUUACUAUUAUGUCUCUUUUCUACAGUGAAUAUCUCAGCAACAGAAGUA